rnacentral:tRNA from 1 species
CAAGUUAAAGCUAAAAAGCAUUUUAUUUACGUUAAAAAGAAGUUGUUAAAUCAAAUUAAUUUGA